rnacentral:rRNA from 1 species
UACGUAGGGUGCAAGCGUUGUCCGGAAUUAUUGGGCGUAAAGAGCUCGUAGGCGGUCUGUCGCGUCUGCUGUGAAAACUCAGGGCUUAACCCUGAGCUUGCAGUGGGUACGGGCAGACUAGAGUGCGGUAGGGGAGACUGGAAUUCCUGGUGUAGCGGUGAAAUGCGCAGAUAUCAGGAGGAACACCGGUGGCGAAGGCGGGUCUCUGGGCCGAUACUGACGCUGAGGAGCGAAAGCGUGGGGAGCGAACAGG